rnacentral:rRNA from 1 species
UACAGAGGCCCCAAGCGUUACUGAGAAUCACUGGGUUUAAAGGGUGCGUAGGUGGUCCGUUAAGUUCGUUGUGAAAGCCCUGGGCUCAACCCAGGAACUGCGUCCGAUACUGGAAGGCUUGAAUCCGGGAGAGGGAUGCGGAAUUCCAGGUGUAGCGGUGAAAUGCGUAGAUAUCUGGAGGAACACCGGUGGCGAAGGCGGCAUCCUGGACCGGUAUUGACGCUGAGGCGCGAAAGCCAGGGGAGCAAACGGG